CAGACACACACACACACACACUUCCUUCUCAAUUAGUCAUGAGUGCUGCUGGGGCGGAAGCUUGGAGGAACAGGAGCGAGCCAGAUCAAUUAUGUCAAAUGGCUUCUCUAAUGGACUUAAACUGAUUAGAGGGCCUGAGUUCAAACUCCGGUGUGGGCAAGAUCAGGAGGAAGCAAUACUGACGGGUGACCAACAACACCUGUGACAGGGUCAGGCUAAUCAAUUCAAGAGCCCUUCAGGAAAAAAAACGUCCCUUCCCCGGCCCUGCUAAAGAACAUGCCAACCUUAACACUUUUCCUCUGGGUGUGUUACAGUGAAAUCGUGACAUUAAUAGAAAGUGGAGGAGACCGUGCCUGAUUUGAACUGAUCACUCUUACGUCAAAGCAAACAGUCACUUUGGUUAGUUGUCACAUAGACAAUUAACCAAAUGCUUCUGUCUAGCCGUGUUCCUUCAGCUUCUUGGAAACUCCAGGACGAAGGAGUGUGGUAACGCUGGCCAGCCCCAAGUUGGAAUCCAGGCAACAGCUGCAGUGGUCAGAAGAAGGGAAAGGAGAUCAAGGGACUAAAAGAGAGGCCAUUUUCAAAACGGUAAAACCAGAAUAAACCCCUGCUUCGAAGUCUGGCGGUCCUCUGGAUGGAUGUUGCAGCAUUGUUCUCUCUUGCUCUCUUUUUCCAAAAAAGCAAACCCUUUUAAGAUGGCUCAGUUGCGUUAAACAUGGUGUUUGCAUCACCACUAUGCCCCCCACACAAACAUAUUUACAAAAGUAUGACUUCUACUUUAUACAUCACUCAUACUAUACUCACUAUACUCAUGUUUCAGUUCACAUGUAUAUGCAUUUUAUUUAUUAAACAAGUCAGUUCAAGCCAGUAAUUCCCCCUUGCCUUUGUGCCCCUCUAAAUCUACAACAGGGGGCUUAAUAUCGAUUCAUGAACAUGUCAUACACUGCACAUAUUCAAAUGUUUUUACUUUAAAAUUCAAACAAAUCCUUAAAUAUUGUCAACAAGCAUUGUGAUCCACCUUUUGAUUGUCUAGAAGUAACUUCAACUGUAACAUAUGCAUAUUCUGAAAAUUGUGUGUAAGUGUGCAUAGUAGCAAGUAGGCAAGCUUUCA